rnacentral:rRNA from 1 species
AGAGCGAACGCUGGCGGCAGGCCUAACACAUGCAAGUCGAGCGGCCGUAGCAAUACGGCAGCGGCAGACGGGAGAGUAACACGUGGGAACGCGCCCUUCGGUUCGGGAUAACUCAGGGAAACUUGGGCUAAUACCGGAUACGCCCUUACGGGGAAAGAUUUAUUGCCGAAGGAACGGCCCGCGUCCGAUUAGCUUGUUGGUGAGGUAAUGGCUCACCAAGGCGACGAUCAGUAGCUGGUCUGAGAGGAUGAUCAGCCACAUUGGGACUGAGACACGGCCCAAACUCCUACGGGAGGCAGCAGUGGGGAAUAUGGACAAUGGGCGCAAGCCUGAUCCAGCCAUGCCGCGUGAGUGAUGAAGGCCCUAGGGUUGUAAAGCUCUUUUGUGCGGGAAGAUAAUGACGGUACCGCAAGAAUAAGCCCGGCUAACUUCGCGUCAGCAGCCGC